rnacentral:rRNA from 1 species
UACGUAGGGGGCAAGCGUUAUCCGGAAUCACUGGGCGUAAAGGGUGCGUAGGCGGCUGAAUAAGUCAGGGGUGAAAGGCAUUGGCUCAACCAAUGUAAGCCUUUGAAACUGUUCAGCUUGAGUGCAGGAGAGGUAAGUGGAAUUCCUAGUGUAGCGGUGAAAUGCGUAGAUAUUAGGAGGAACACCAGUGGCGAAGGGCGACU